rnacentral:rRNA from 1 species
CAGGUAGGUGGUCUCAUUUGUCUGGGGUGAAAUCCUUGGGCUUAACUCAAGAAGUGCCUUAGAAACGGUGAGACUAGAGUACUGGAGAGGGUCGUGGAAUUCCCGGUGUAGCGGUGAAAUGCGUAGAGAUCGGGAGGAACACCAGAGGCGAAGGCGGCGACCUGGACAGUUACUGACACUCAACUGCGAAAGCGUGGGGAGCAAACA